UUUUAGUUUGGCGACAACCGCUUCGUUAUCUAAUUUCUCAUUUGCAAAAAGCGAAGACGUCUUAAUCAUCAUCUUCUUCAUUGCCGUCGCUUGUAUUACAAAAUGCGAAACUAAUGU
rnacentral:sRNA from 1 species